rnacentral:rRNA from 1 species
AACCAGCUCUUCAAGUGGUCGGGAUAAUUAUUGGGCUUAAAGUGUCCGUAGCUGGUAGGGUAAGUUCCUGGUAAAAUUGGGCAGCUUAACUGUCCUUAUGCUAGGAAUACUACUCUCCUAGAGGGCGGGAGAAGUCUGAGGUACUACAGGGGUAGGGGUGAAAUCUUAUAAUCCUUGUAGGACCACCAGAGGCGAGAGCGUCAGACCGGAACGCGCCUGACAGUGAGGGACGAAAGCCAGGGGAGCGAACCGGAUUAGAUACCCGGGUAGUCCUGGCCGUAAACGAUGCGCACUAGGUGAUGGUGCGGCUAUGAGCCGCAUCAGUGUCGUAGGGAAACCGUUAAGUGUGCCGCCUGGGAAGUACGGUCGCAAGGCUUAAACUUAAAGGAAUUGGCGGGGGAGCACCACAAGGGUGAAGCCUGCGGUUC